GAUGAACGCUGGCGGCGUGCUUAACACAUGCAAGUCGAACGGAAAGGCCCAAGCUUGCUUGGGUACUCGAGUGGCGAACGGGUGAGUAACACGUGGGUGAUCUGCCCUGCACUUCGGGAUAAGCCUGGGAAACUGGGUCUAAUACCGGAUAGGACCACAUUUUGGAUGGUGUGGUGGAAAGUUUUUCGGUGUGGGAUGAGCUCGCGGCCUAUCAGCUUGUUGGUGGGGUAAUGGCCUACCAAGGCGUCGACGGGUAGCCGGCCUGAGAGGGUGUACGACGACAUUGGGUCCGACAGACGGCACAGGUACGGACGGGAGGGAGCAGGGGGGAAGAUUGAACGAGGGGCGCAAGCCGGAUGAAGAGAGGCCGCGGGGGGGAGGACGGUCUUCGGGUUGUAAACUACAUUCGCUAGGGACGAAGCGUUAUGUGACGGUACCUGGAGAAGAAGCACCGGCUAACUACGUG
rnacentral:rRNA from 1 species